rnacentral:rRNA from 1 species
ACGGGAGGCAGCAGUGAGGAAUAUUGGUCAAUGGACGUAAGUCUGAACCAGCCAAGUAGCGUGAGGGAUGACGGCCAUAUGGUUGUAAACCUCUUUUGCGAGGGAAUAAAGUGCGUCACGUGUGGUGCAUUGCAUGUACCUUGCGAAUAAGGAUCGGCUAACUCCGUGCCAGCAGCCGCGGUAAUACGGAGGAUCCGAGCGUUAUCCGGAUUUAUUGGGUUUAAAGGGUGCGCAGGCGGCACGUUAAGUCAGCGGUGAAAUGUCGGGGCUCAACCCGGGCACUGCCGUUGAAACUGGCGAGCUUGAGUACGGAUGAAGUCGGCGGAAUGUGAUGUGUAGCGGUGAAAUGCUUAGAUAUGUCACAGAACACCGAUUGCGAAGGCAGCUGACUAAUCCGCAACUGACGCUCAGGCACGAAAGCGUGGGGAUCGAACAGGAUUAGAUACCCUGGUA